rnacentral:rRNA from 1 species
UACGUAGGGUGCGAGCGUUAAUCGGAAUUACUGGGCGUAAAGCGUGCGCAGGCGGUUCGUUAAGUCAGAUGUGAAAGCCCCGGGCUCAACCUGGGAACUGCAUUUGAAACUGGCGGGCUUGAGUGUGGCAGAGGGGGGUGGAAUUCCGCGUGUAGCAGUGAAAUGCGUAGAGAUGCGGAGGAACACCGAUGGCGAAGGCAGCCCCCCUGGGCCAACACUGACGCUCAGGCACGAAAGCGUGGGAAGCAAACAGG